GAUGAACGCUAGCGGCAGGCUUAAUACAUGCAAGUCGAGGGGCAGCGCAGUGUAGCAAUACAUGGGCGGCGACCGGCAAACGGGUGCGGAACACGUACGCAACCUUCCUUUAAGUGGGGGAUAGCCCAGGGAAACUUGGAUUAAUACCCCGUAAUAUUAUGAAGUGGCAUCACUUUAUACUUAUAGCUCCGGCGCUUAAAGAUGGGCGUGCGACUGAUUAGGUAGUUGGCGGGGUAACGGCCCACCAAGCCUGCGAUCAGUAACUGGUGUGAGAGCACGACCAGUCACACGGGCACUGAGACACGGGCCCGACUCCUACGGGAGGCAGCAGUAAGGAAUAUUGGUCAAUGGACGCAAGUCUGAACCAGCCAUGCCGCGUGGAGGAUGAAGGUCCUCUGGAUUGUAAACUUCUUUUAUUUGGGAAGAAACCCACUGUUUCUACGGUGGUUGACGGAACCAGAUGAAUAAGCACCGGCUAACUCCAUGCCAGCAGCCGCGGUAA
rnacentral:rRNA from 1 species